GCUUGCUUCUUACUGUAUACAUUUAUUACUUCAAUACCAUUUUUUGUUUGAGUUUGGAUUAGAUUUAAACCAAAUUGCAAUUAGUUUUAAGUCAUAUUUGCUUAAAUUUUUCAAUACAUUUUAUGGUAAAUAUUGGUAAAGGGGAGGCCAGUUUCGAUGAUCUUGAUUUUGGCAUAGAGUUUUGAUGUGCAGUUGUUAGCCGUCGUUCGUUAUUUCUUCAAAAAUUAUUAACAAAAAUAUAUUACUAAUAUGCGUAACGUAUGCACUUACUAUGCGUAAAUACAUGUAACCAUGAACACAGACGUGUCCGUUGGUUUACUAUUAAUGUAAUUACAUAAUAUAUAUAUAUUUACUUAUUAUUUUGAUAGCAUUUUAUAGAAAUGUUUGCAAUCACACAUAUCGUAUUACAUCAUGUACAAUUAGUUGCAAUAUCAUCCAUGUUACUUAUAUUUCAAUGCUGUAUAUACAUAUUUGAAUAAAUCUCAUUGUUAGUAUAACGUUCCAUAUAAUUGAAAAACAAUCGGAUAUCGUAUAAUCGACGUAACGUUCGAAACAAUAUUAUAAGAACGUAGUUGCAAAAAUUGACGACGAACUAGUGCGAUAUGCGUAGCUCGUAAACUGUCGGUGAAUGGUGUGGUAGCUACCGCACACGUAAGUUAACACACACAGCAGCAAACUGCACUAGCUAGGUUGCAAUAACCCUCUAGGUUUCCUCCACUGCCAUCCAUAAUUACACUCUCAACAUAGUAACUGCAUCUCCAGUGCUCGAGAUCGUCGCGUCUAUUGUGAAUGCACCAGUGCUGCGAAAGUGACGACUGAAAAGCAAACCACACACCGCGCAAUCUUGCCAAGAUGACAAGUAUGACUUAGUAUCACCAUCAUCGUCCUUUCGAAAGUACGCUUGCAAGCUGAACUUGUUACACGAUAAACGUAAUAUGAUUAUAACUUUUUACUCGUCAGCUAUCUUAUGCAACAUUACGCUGUAAUACGUUUCGGAUUUCCCUCCUGGACAAUUGCGUGAUUCGUUUCUGUGAGAAAAGUGAAAAGAAUCUUAAAUUAAGUAGGGCUGAAUUUUGCGCGCAGCUGUUUCUCUCUACGGCAGAGUUUGACGCGAAUUACGUGUAAACGAUACGCCACUGCAAUAUGUGACGGGUAGUGUUCUCUGCGCAAGCACAUUGGUAUCAAGUUUUUAAUAACUAAACUACAAUUUUUCUUGAAAAUAUGAUGCAUAUACUUUAAGUUUCAUAAUUCACUUUAAUAAUUAAUAAUACAACUGUGUGUGACAUAUUUUAAAGCACGGUACGACACAUAGACCCACGUCACGAUUUUCACACUCAUAGCGCGAUAGUGUUUUCCAAAUUGCUCUUCGUUUUCCAUUUUGAAGCGACAUUUUGAGAUUGAAGAUUCUAAAAAAUUAUAAGGAUACGGGUCGGCAUGUUAAAAAGAGCAUCUAAUAAUGGUAUAUUUAUUUUAACAAAAGCAAAACACUGGCGUAUCAAAAACAAGGACUAUAUAUUCUAUCUGUAUAUUAUUAACACUGUUAUAAAACAUUGCGUGAAGUAAGACAAAUGAAAAAGACCAUUUAGUUGAAACGGUGAGCGAAUGAGUCAGUGGAGUGAGCCACUAUAGUGGCGCGUCGUAAUAUAAGAUGACAUCCGCGAAAGCCACCAUAGUGGCGCAUCGUACCUAAGAGAUUA